UGCAAUCAUGGCUCACAGCAGCCUCAACCUCCCAAGUAGCUAGCUGGGACUACAGGGACCCACCAUCAUGCCUGGAUAAUUAUUUUUGGUAUUUUUUGUAGAGACAGAGUUUAGCCAUGUUGCCCAGGCUGGCUGGCCUCAACCUCCUCGGCUCAAACUAUCUGCCCUCCUUGGCCUCUUGAAAUGCUGGGAUUACAGGCAGGAGCCACCGUGCCAGACAACACUAGUAUUUAUUGAGUAUAUACAUGUGCCAGGCACAAAAGUAUGUGCUUGAGAUUUGUUUUCUGAUUUAACACUGCGGGCUCCCCUCUGAAGCGGGUGUGAUGAAUAUAAUUGCUAUUUUACAGGAAAUGAGAUGAAGAGGUAAAAAAGCGAAGUAUGUACCCAAGAUUACAGCUAAACUAGGACUUGAACCCAUGUCUGUCUGAAGUCCGAGCUGAAACUUUGGCCACUAAAUUGCCCUGUCUCACUACAGUGGUUGUGUGUUUUGCAAAUCUGAAUAGCGCAAAUCUGAAAUUUUGAUUUAUAAUGUAUCAAUCAUCUUAGUUUACGCACAGAUUUUGAACUAAUGCAAACCCUACUUUACAUUUCCUGCUCCAGAGAAUUAAUCUUGAAUUGUGCUAGUUUUGAAUUAUGUGAGGCCUUUGGGAAUAGGCCUACAUCCCUCGCAAGAAAAUUAAUCACCCUAUAAAUGACUUAACCCGCCUCUCAGGGCUUUGCGGUGGAGACUGAAUGCAAGAAUGCAAAUUAAGUGACCAAAAACCCGCAUUCGCAAUACCUGAGUUUGCUCCCCUCUCCUAAGUGAGUAAACUCCACCCCAAAGUGGCCUCCAGCCCCCUGGUUCUUCCUUCCUGCUGCCUGCAGGUUUCCAAACUCCCCCUGGGGCGUCAAGUGCCAGCUCAAAGAUCCCCCCAAAACUUGAUCUACCCCACAAGCACCACUACUUCAUGCAGGGCAGUGUGCCCCUGGUUCUGUCUUUGCCUUCUCAUCAAGUCAGGGCCGGAAGACACAUCAGUGUGUUCUCCCCAUCACCGGUGACUGCAGAGAAGGGCCCAGCAGAACAAACACUUUUUUAAAACGCUGCAAAUAGACAGGUGGAUGAAAAUUUUCAGAUGUGUGAAAUACUGUCUUGGGCCCCAUGGCAAUUUCUGGAUCUAAGUUUGUGAUUUCUAGUUUAAUCUUUAUCUUCUCCUCCUCCCACUGUCUCAGCAUCUAGGCUGGGGAUCUUUGGCCCACAGAAACCACAUCUUUCUUGCUAACCUGUUGUCUUCUUUUCUAUGCAACCCCACUGCUGGGGGAAAGGCCAAGAUGGAGGACUUCAUUUGAUUUAUUUUACAGAAAGCCAAUGCUGGAAAACUCUGUAGUGGUGGGUGGUAUUGUUUGACACCUUCCUUUUCAGGGGAAGAAGCUGAGACCCAAAGGGGCAACUUGAGCCACCUGAGGUCACUCUGUGGAUAAGCAACAGCUCUCAGAGGUUUGCGUGAGACAGGCCGGAACUACUUCUCUCUGCCCUCCCAGGAUCUUUGCAUGACAUGAUAUGAAACCAAGAUUCUCAACAACCAAGAUUCUUCUGUGGGGCCCAGCAGAAGUAUCUGAGGAAUCUUUUCAAAAAUCUGCAUGAACUUGCUAAGGCUGCCAUUAACAAGUUCCACUUUUCUGGGUGGCUUAAACAACAGAAAUGUAUUUCCACACAGUCGUGGAGGCUGGAAGUCCAAGGUCCAGGCAUCCACAGGUUUGGUCUCUUCUGAGGCCUCUCUCUGUAGCUUGUAGAUGGCCGCCUUCUCCUUGUGUCUUCCCACAGUUAUCCCUCUUUCUGUAUCUGUGUCCUGAUCUCUUCUUAUAAGGACACCAGUCAUAUUGGAUUGGUGGACUCAUUUUUAACUUAAUUACCCUUUUACAAAUUCGAUCUCUAAAUACAGCCACAUUCUGAGGUACUGGGAGGACUUGUUCUAUUUGAAUUUUUUUUUUUUUUUUUUUUUUUUUUUUGUGGAGGGACACAAUUUGCUCAUAAUAAUGUGUCCCCUGGCCCUUCAAAACUCAUGUCCUUUCUGCGUGCAAAAUACACUGACUCCAUUUCAACGUGUUCAAAAGUGUUAACUGAUUCCAGCAUCAACUCUAAGUCCAAAAGCUCACCUAAAUAGCAUCUAAAUCAGAUGUGGGUGAAACUCAAGGUAUGAUUUAUUCAGAGGCAAAAUUCCUCUUCAGCUGUAAACUUAUAGAACCAGACAAGUUCUCUGCUUUCAAAAUACAAUGGUGGGGCAGGCAUAGCAUAGAUAUCCUAUGGGAGAAAUCAGAAAGAAGACAGGAGCCACAGGUCCCAAGCAAAUUCCAUUAGAUCUUAAGGCUCAAGAAUAACCCUCUUUGACUUCAUAAUCUAUGGACCACCUGGUCCCUCCCUAGCAGCUUCUGUGGUGGUUUCUCGUCAUCUCCCACCAUUGUCCCAGCAAAUAAAUACUAUGACCCAACAACUCACCAUGUGCCAGAAACAUUUCCUGUAUGUCAGUCAACUCAUUACAUUCUCACCAGGGCCCUAAGAAAGAAGCCCAGUGAUCAAUUCCAUUUGACCAAGGAAGAAAGUAAGACAUAGAGAGGUCAAGUUCUUCGGCCAGGGCCACGUAGCUUAUUAAUGGAGUUGCUGGGACUUGAACCCAGCCAGUCUGACCCCAGGGCCUUUUCUUAUACCGAGACCUUGGCAUUCCAGGUGAGGCUCCUGCUCACCAGUGUUAGACAAUCUCUGACCUGUUGUGUCAGCUCCAAGUGUUUACUGGUGUAAAUGUUUCUUCUCCUCAUCCCCAGAAGGAGUUAAAUGAGACAGAAGUCCUCCUCGUAAUCCUCUCGGUGCUCCUGUAGCUGGGACAAUGUGUGAUGCACAGAACACUUAUAAGUGUCUGUUAGUGAUGAGUGAAUUGGGGGAGGCUGUGGUCCUUCCCUGAAAAGGUGAACCAAUUAAAACUCAAAAUCACCUUAGCAAGAUACCAAAGAGCAGAAUUUCAGUGGUCCCAGCCCCUCUGGAAGCCCCUGGAAGCUUAUUUUCAUUCUGAAUAGACCUCCUUUGCUUUGCCUCACAGAGAGUGCUUCCAUUCAACCAGUAAUUAGUGUCUCUAAGUGGAAUCUACUUAAGAAAGGACACAAAGCCUGAGAAAGUUGUAUUAUGCCAUUUAUAAAUGUCCGGUGAUCUGCUGCUGCACUGUGAUUCACGGAGCUGAAAUAAAUGAUUUGCUUCAAAAAAAAAUUAUGAACGUUCAUUCCGCUGGUAGAAUCUCUUAAUUCCCGUUACACAUGUCAGCAUAUUAUGACUGGAAGCUGUCAGGUUCUAAUGACUAAAAUUUCAUUUUUCAGACUUCUCACACUGUGUGUGAGGACUAUAAGUUAGAAAUAUCUCUGCAGCUAAGUUUCUUCCUCAUCUGGUAAAUUUAGCUCUUUCUUUCUUUUCUAUUUAUUUUUUAAGUGUCCAUGUUUACAUGAAUACCUUGAGUAAACUAAUCUCAUGCUUCAUUCAAUAAACGAGGAGGUCUACUACUAUGGUGCUUUUCUUCCCAAAGCUGCUGUCCUUUUUAUGGGACAUAAUGUGUCUUGACAGCUGACAGAUUCAAUGCAAAAUUAUUUUUACUUGGCAGAGUGGAUCAAAAUAUGGAUUAUUUUAAAGAACAUUAGCACUUUUUUGUUUAAAGUAAAAUAUAUUGUUUAUGCUUUGUAUGGAUAAACAACCUUGACAUUGGCUGUAACUUGUUUUAUUAUCCUUGAAAUGGAAAUUUGUUGACACGAUAUUCAAUAAAUAGAAAUACUUCGGUCCUGUUCACUUAACUCGCAUACUAUACUAAAUAGGAAUUAUUGAUCCUCCAGUUAUUACACUUGUUCCUGAAAUGCUCUGUGGAGGGCAGGAAAACCAACUUCCAAUUCAGGUUGUUAAUAGAUUGGUCGCAAAAUUUAUGUUAUCCAUGUCCAACAAAUCACUAAUAAAAGCUUAUAAGAGGCUAGAUCAUCUGCAUUGAAUUACUCAUUCUUCCCCCCAUAAAAAGCCUUUAGCUAGAGACUGACCAAAGAAUUUAAAAUCUCUCAUUAUCUAUAAGUCAUUGCUCAAAG
rnacentral:lncRNA from 1 species